rnacentral:rRNA from 1 species
GUAGGGAAUAUUGGACAAUGGGGGCAACCCUGAUCCAGCGACGCCGCGUGAGUGAUGAAGGCCUUCGGGUCGUAAAGCUCUGUUGCAGGGGAAGAACACAAUGACGGUACCCUGCUAGAAAGGAUCGGCUAACUUCGUGCCAGCAGCCGCGGUAAGACGAGGGAUCCUAGCGUUGUUCGGAAUUAUUUGGCGUAAAGCGGGUGCAGGUGGCUUGGUAAGUCAUAUGUGAAAUCCUGGGGCUUAACCCCAGAAGUGCAUUUGAUACUGCUGAGCUUGAGUGCUGGAGAGGCUAUUAGAAUGCCUGGUGUAGUAGUGAGAUACGUAGAUAUCAGGAACAAUACCGGAGGCGGAAGCGGAUAGCAGACCAGACACUGACACUCAGACGCGAAAGCGUGGGGAUCAAACAGGAUUAGCAACCCGGGUAGUCC